rnacentral:sRNA from 1 species
UAUCGAAUGCCUCACCUAUCAAGAAUACACCUUGUUUCUAACGGUCAACGCAGAGAGGCUCUGCAGCAGCUGUUUCUUGAUCUACUCUGAUGCUCGUGUGUCUUGUUGUUGCAUUUCCCCUUUGGACUCGCUCACUCUCUCUCUCUUUCCUUCUCUCUUUGUUGUGAUAUCUUCUGCCGUGAGCCUCUGCUCAGUUUAACGGUCAACGUAACGCCAACAGCGACGCUGGCGCUUGUAAUCUGCUGCCCGCUUCGCCUUAGUUGUUUUUGUGAUUUCAUUCAUUUCUGGCUCUGCCGCUGCCUCUGUCGGCGCCUGAUAACAAGUCGGAGAGCGCGUCAAAAUGCUCACCUGCUCUGCUCGCGGCUGAGAGCAGGUCGCUUAUCAAAUGGCCUAUUGAUUCGGGCCAGAUUCGGGCGUCAGAGCAUCGUCGCCGACAUCAUCAUCGGUCGUCGGAGGCAUCCGAGGCAUCGAUAUCGAAGCUUACGACGACGAGUCCGUCGCUGCUGCUGCCUUACCUGUCGGAGCCCCGAGGCUGUCUCUGCCGUCUCUGCCUCUGCCGCUGGCACUGGCGUUGCCGACGCUAAAUGGAAACGCUUUGACGCGUUAUAAUAACAAGUGUUUGCCGUCUUUGGACAUUCAGUGUGCGAUAUCCCGGCGGUGCAGACUACUACGUUCGCCGCACACGGACAAAGCUUAUAUAGAGAAAAAUCCGAAAAAAAAAAUACCCAAAAACCCAAGCCCCAAGCAAGAACUUUUCGCGGAGAACAACACUCCUCCUCCGACACUCCUGAAACAAAAAGUGCAGCAAGAAACAGACACCUUUUAAAGCCCUUAAACCCUUUUGCAUUUCGAAUGAAAAAAAAUUGUGUUUUUUUUAAUGGUUGUUGUUGGUGAUAAAUCAAACAAAUUAUUGUAAUAUAACUAAGUUAUAGUCGAAAUAUCGCGUCAAAAGUCUCGAUUUGCGCGCGCGCGUCCUGUACAAAAGUUACCUGAAAAGUUAAAAGAAAACCGAAAACCCAAUCCCAAACCCAAACCAGGGAAAAGGAAACCCUAUCCAGUGAAUCCAAACAAUCCGAAUAGUUGAUGAACCAUAUCAACGGUCCGGUGACUAAGCUCAGCGACAGCCACAGCCUCAGUUCUUCUACCUCAACCUCUCUCCCCCUAGAACAUCAUCCCACCCCACAACCACGCACACAUCGCCCUACCCCCCACCCCACACACACACA